AUAACAGGCAACUUCACAUUUUCCCAGAACUCUCCUUACCUAUAACCAGUUCAUUAGGUACCUUUUUGCCUUCCAAGUGACUGUAGGCAGCAGCCUCACUGACUUGUCACUGACAUGGUCCUCUUUCUCCAGGCUCUGCUGACAAUCUCCUCAGGCCUCUGCUUGCCAUCUGGUCCCAAAGCCAAUACACUUGUGUUUGGGGUUUGGUACAGCAGCACCCCACCUCCAGGUUGACUGGCUCAGCUGGGCGGUUCUGCUCCGUGUGGUAUAGCUGGAGUCACUCAUGUGACGGCAUUCAGCUGGGAGGUCAGCUGGGGCUGCUCUGCCUGAGAGGGCCUCCCAUCCUACAGGACACCCUGCACAGCCUCUCCUCAACGGACAGCCCGACCUCUUCAUGUCAUGGCUGUGGGCAUCCAGGAGGAGCCUUACAGAGAGUGAAGCCUACAAGAGCAUGUGGUUCUUUCCCAGACUCCAGAACUUGCCUCAUGCUCGUGCACCAGUCAUCCCUCUGCUGGACACCUGAGGGGACCCUUGGCAGACCUCGGGUCCUCUGGGCUGCAGACUCUGGCCAUCCUGGCCCUCCCAGACACCCAGCUCCAUCGUUGAACCUGCGGAGUCCACGUGGGCUGCCUACCUGUGCCACGGCCUGGAUGCUCUCCAGGCAGUGACCUGGGGCAAUGGUAGGGCUCAUAUUGCUUGUUUCCUGUCUCCCAGGAGUCACUGUCCUUCACUGCCUGAUGUCCAGCAUCUAGAGAUUCAUUGCUUCAUAUAUUUUGUCCAGCUUUUCAGUUGUUUCAGGCAAGACAGUAAAUCUGGUUUUCCAUAACUGCCCUCUGUGCCAGAAGUGGACAUCUGUUUAAGUUUCUUUGGAGCUCGGUACUCUAACAGUUGAGUCAUGGGCCUGACCCUCACCUCUCUCUGCCCUCUGGCUGCAGAGAUGGGAGCCUUCCUCAGUAUAUGCUGCCAAGGGGAC
rnacentral:lncRNA from 1 species